GCGAUUUGUAGCUCAUCUCAGAGCGCUGGUCUUGUAAACCAGAGGUUAAAUAUACAAUAUUUCUAUCGCU
rnacentral:tRNA from 1 species